CCUACGGGUGGCAGCAGUAGGGAAUGUUGCGCAAUGGGCGAAAGCCUGACGCAGCAACGCCGCGUGAGUGAGACGCCCUUCGGGGUGUAAAGAUCUGUCAGUGGGGACGAAACUUGACGGUACCCACAGAGGAAGCACCGGCUAACUCCGGGCCAGCAGCCGCGGUAAUACGGGGGGUGCAGGCGUUGUCCGGAAUCAUUGGGCGUAAAGAGUUCGUAGGCGGCAGGGAAAUUCUGGUGUUAAAGGCAGAGGCUCAACUUCUGUACGGCAUUGGAUACUUGCGAGCUAGAAUGCGGUAGAGGUAAAGGGAAUUCCUGGGGUAGCGGGGAAAUGCUUAGAUAUCAGGAGGAACAUCGGUGGCGUACGCGCUUUACUGGGCCGUAAUUGACGCUGAGGAACGAAAGCCAGGGUAGCAAAUGGGAUUAGAUACCCUUGUAGUC
rnacentral:rRNA from 1 species